UCUCAAGUGUAAACUGGCAUU
rnacentral:piRNA from 1 species